rnacentral:tRNA from 1 species
GGGCGAGUGGCGGAACUGGUAGACGCGCUAGACUCAAAAUCUGGUUGUAGCAAUACAGUAAGGGUUCAAGUCCCUUCUCGCCCACCA